rnacentral:rRNA from 1 species
UACGGGGGGGGCAAGCGUUGUUCGGAAUUACUGGGCGUAAAGGGCUCGUAGGCGGCCAACUAAGUCAGACGUGAAAUCCCUCGGCUUAACCGGGGAACUGCGUCUGAUACUGGAUGGCUUGAGUGUGGGAGAGGGAUGCGGAAUUCCAGGUGUAGCGGUGAAAUGCGUAGAUAUCUGGAGGAACACCGGUGGCGAAGGCGGCCAACUGGACCAUUUCUGACGCUGAGGCGCGAAAGCGUGGGGAGCAAACAGG